rnacentral:rRNA from 1 species
CUUAAAGGAAUUGGCGGGGACGCGCACAAGCGGUGGAGCAUGUGGUUUAAUUCGACGCAACGCGCAGAACCUUACCAGCCCUUGACAUCCCGGUCGCGGACUCCAGAGACGGAGUUCUUCAGUUCGGCUGGACCGGAGACAGGUGCUGCAUGGCUGUCGUCAGCUCGUGUCGUGAGAUGUUGGGUUAAGUCCCGCAACGAGCGCAACCCCCGUCCUUAGUUGCUACCAUUUAGUUGAGCACUCUAAGGAGACUGCCGGUGAUAAGCCGCGAGGAAGGUGGGGAUGACGUCAAGUCCUCAUGGCCCUUACGGGCUGGGCUACACACGUGCUACAAUGGCGGUGACAAUGGGAUGCUAAGGGGCGACCCUUCGCAAAUCUCAAAAAGCCGUCUCAGUUCGGAUUGGGCUCUGCAACUCGAGCCCAUGAAGUUGGAAUCGCUAGUAAUCGUGGAUCAGCACGCCACGGUGAAUACGUUCCCGGGCUUUGCACACACCGCCCG